GUAGCACUUCCAAAGUACUUAGAAGAGCCUUAAAGCAUAAUAUCAAACAUGGUAAAAAUGUUGUUUCUGUGCAGUUUUUUAUAUAUAGUCUGAGCAACCCCCCUUUUGGAAUAAUUGGCCUACUCUUGCAGGGAGAGGCUUUACCUGUAGGUAAGCAUUCAGAAGUGGUGAUGUUAAUUUGUGGUCUGCAAUAAAACAUGAAGUACAGCAUUUCCAAUGAUGUAGGUUUUUGUAUGUGUUUUUUCUUUUUUUAGACCUGCUGUGGCUAGAAAAUUGUUAAUUUGAACUUUCAAAUGGCUUCAGCAUAUGUUCCUGCAGUCUGCUGCAUGAGUGCUCUCCUCCUAUCCAGAAAGGACGGGCUUGGCAAGCAGAUCAAGAUGGUUCUCAGACAGCAGAAUGCACAGGCUCCCGUAAGAAUUCCCCCUGGCUACAGUUCAUUUACAGCUGAUUUUAGAGACAGUACAAUAAGAGCACUUUGAAUCAGAGCGUGUCUGCUACCUGUCUGGCUGAAACAAGAAAGUGAAUAAAUCCAGGUAUUAAAAUAAAUAGAAGAAGAAC
rnacentral:lncRNA from 1 species